UUUGCUUCGAGACAGUUUGAUGAUUCUCAAACUUAGUAGAAAAGUCAUGCCGAGUAUAGACUUGGCUUUGGAUGAACGGAUAUUUUUGUGCAGAAUUAGCGGAGCAUGGAUUUCAUUGAUAAGAAAAGGUAUGGUGCUGAACGGAUGGCGGUGUGAGACUGACUGCAGUGCUGAGGAAGCGGGAGAAGCUAAUGGCGACUAAUGAGGGCUGAUGGAAAUCUGGACCAGAUAUUGGAAUGGGGGAAAGAAAAAGGGAAAGACAUGCGGCAGAGGAACCGAGGAAGGGAGUCGAACUCAGGAAGGCAGCGUCAAGAACUUGCUGGGCACAGCGGGACGGAAAUGGCUUGGUGUCCAUCACUGUGUCAGAAUGGAAUAAAGCUGUGAUGCACUCUGGCCUGGAGCCACAGGUUUGCCGCCAUCCAUUUGUCAUUUCUCUGCCUCCUCCAGCUCUGUCCCUCCAUUUUCUUCUCACACGCUCACUUUCUCUUAUGCAAAACUCUUGACAGCGAAAAAAUACAAUUGUGGAGGAAUCCACUAAACCCACACACCUUGCUGGAGAACGCUGUUCGGAUCGCUGGAUCCUAAGAGUGUCAAAUGUCUUUUCUGCUGGAAGUAGCCAUCAGAAGACGGUUCUACGCUGUGGACAUAAAAGGCUCGAUCCGGUCAGCAAUGAUACUUAGCUUGACAAGCCAGGCCUUCAACAAGACAAGCGGGUAGCAGGACAGAUAAAAAACGGGCUGGAAACGUUUCUGGCAGCGAAUCAGAACGCCUGAGACAUGCUUCCUUUGAAGGCUACUGACGUGGAAUGAUGCUUGCUGACAGAAACCACACUAAAUCACUUAGAAGGAGCUCUUCUUUUGUCUUUCGUCCUGACAGGAAAAGGACACCUCUUCUUGGGUGGUCCUACAUGCACCUUCCCAAGACAAAAAUAAAACGUUGAACUUUUA